rnacentral:rRNA from 1 species
UUUCGAAUCAUUCACAAUGGGCGAAAGCCUGAUGGUGCGACGCCGCGUGAGGGACGAAGGUCUUCGGAUUGUAAACCUCUGUCACCGGGGAAGAAACGCUUCAUUUUAAUAGAAUGAAGCCUGACUUAACCCGGAGAGGAAGCAGUGGCUAACUCUGUGCCAGCAGCCGCGGUAAUACAGAGACUGCGAGCGUUAUUCGGAUUCACUGGGCGUAAAGGGUGCGCAGGAGGCCGUGUGUGUGAGGCGUGAAAUACCGAGGCUUAACCUCGGAAUUGCACCUCAAACUACACGGCUAGAGCAUUGGAGAGGGUAGCGGAAUUCACGGUGUAGCAGUGAAAUGCGUAGAUAUCGUGAGGAACACCAGAGGCGAAGGCGGCUACCUGGACAAUUGCUGACUCUCAGGCACGAAAGCGUGGGGAGCAAAAGGGAUUAGAUACCCCCGUAGUCC